rnacentral:rRNA from 1 species
CCUACGGGUGGCAGCAGUCGAGAAUCAUUCACAAUGGGGGAAACCCUGAUGGUGCGACGCCGCGUGGGAGAAUGAAGUUCUUCGGAUUGUAAACCCCUGUCAUGUGGGAGCAAAUUAAAAAGAUAGUACCACAAGAGGAAGAGACUGCUAACUCUGUGCCAGCAGCCGCGGUAAUACAGAGGUCUCAAGCGUUGUUCGGAAUCACUGGGCGGAAAGCGUGCGUAGGCUGUUUCGUAAGUCGUGUGUGAAAGGCGCGGGCUCAACCCGCGGACGGCACAUGAUACUGCGAGACUAGAGUAAUGGAGGGGGAACCGGAAUUCUCGGUGGAGCAGUGAAAUGCGUAGAUAUCGAGAGGAACACUCGUGGCGAAGGCGGGUUCCUGGACAUUAACUGACGCUGAGGCACGAAGGCCAGGGGAGCGAAAGGGAUUAGAUACCCCAGUAGUC